rnacentral:lncRNA from 1 species
GAUCAGGACUCACAAUAGAGGGACUGUAUCAUACGUUAACUGUACCUAGAGGUUUAUUAUCUUUUAUUUUGUUGGAUUGCCACCACAUACUGUUAGGUGUCACUGGUGGAUUGUGAGACCUAUGGGCAUCAUCUCAAUGAUCGAUAAUCUUUGAUGGGUAGAGUUGGAAUGGUUUCAACCCAUUGAAAGGAGUUUUAAUGAUAUUAUGAUAGGGAUCACAAUAUAUCUCACU